rnacentral:snoRNA from 1 species
AGUCGAUGAUGAUAAACUAUUUUCAGUUCUGCUUCUGAACAAGAUGAAGAUACCAAAAUUUACCAAAAACAACCUCUGAUAU